UACGAAGGGGGCUAGCGUUGCUCGGAAUCACUGGGCGUAAAGCGCACGUAGGCGGCUUACUAAGUCAGGGGUGAAAUCCUGGAGCUCAACUCCAGAACUGCCUUUGAUACUGGAGAGCUUGAGUUCGGAAGAGGUGAGUGGAACUCCGAGUGUAGAGGUGAAAUUCGUAGAUAUUCGGAAGAACACCAGUGGCGAAGGCGGCUCACUGGUCCGGUACUGACGCUGAGGUGCGAAAGCGUGGGGGAGCAAACAGGG
rnacentral:rRNA from 1 species